rnacentral:rRNA from 1 species
UACGUAGGGGGCUAGCGUUGUCCGGAAUCAUUGGGCGUAAAGCGCGCGUAGGCGGCCCGGUAAGUCCGCUGUGAAAGUCAAAGGCUCAACCUUUGAAUGUCAGCGGAUACUGCCGGGCUAGAGUCCGGAAGAGGCGAGUGGAAUUCCUGGUGUAGCGGUGGAAUGCGCAGAUAUCAGGAGGAACACCAAUUGCGAAGGCAGCUCGCUGGGACGUAACUGACGCUGAGACGCGAAAGCGUGGGGAGCAAACAGG